rnacentral:rRNA from 1 species
AACGAACGCUGGCGGCAGGCUUAACACAUGCAAGUCGAGCGCCCCGCAAGGGGAGCGGCAGACGGGUGAGUAACACGUGGGAACAUACCCAUCUCUGCGGAACAACUCCGGGAAACUGGAGCUAAUACCGCAUACGCCCUUAGGGGGAAAGAUUUAUCGGAGAUGGAUUGGCCCGCGUUGGAUUAGCUAGUUGGUGGGGUAAAGGCCUACCAAGGCGACGAUCCAUAGCUGGUCUGAGAGGAUGAUCAGCCACAUUGGGACUGAGACACGGCCCAAACUCCUACGGGAGGCAGCAGUGGGGAAUAUUGGACAAUGGGCGCAAGCCUGAUCCAGCCAUGCCGCGUGAGUGAUGAAGGCCUUAGGGUUGUAAAGCUCUUUCACCGAUGAAGAUAAUGACGGUAGUCGGAGAAGAAGCCCCGGCUAACUUCGUGCCAGCCGCCGCCGUAAAAC